CGUCCCUGUGAGCAAAACCCGCUGAGGCCGUGACUUCACCUGCACGCAUGCGCGGGCUGUGGCAGAUGAACGCGCCUUCCACCAGGGGGUGCGCGAUGGCCAGGAAUGACAAUUCGCUAUUAAACUAAUCACUAACGAUUGGGCCUUCAUGCCAGCGAUGAAGAAGAUACUUUGUAUCACGUGACAACGCUUUCCGCUGUGGCAGCACAUAGUGUUUUACACGGUCAGCAUCCUUUUUACAACAUUCCUGUCUCCGCAUGGUGGCAUUUUGGGUUCCUUUUGGGAUCGAACCCAUGUCCACAGGAUGCAAGCCUAAUGUUCUUUUCAACAAACAUCUGAUUCAACACAUGCAUCACCAGUGCAGUAAAGAACUCUUUUAAUAAUGCAUUUCUUAGUUUGCACCUGAGUACACAUAUGUCAAGAGAAAACAGUCCAUAAAAGUCACACAGCAGGGCUGUAUCUUAGGUCUUUUCUAAACGCAGCGUCACACGUCAUUCAGCUUUCCAGGGAAGAUUUGGGUCAGGAACGUGAUCACUGAGGACGUGAGAGAACACAUAGAGGUUGACGAGGUUAUGAUGAGAAAAACACAGCUGCUUUGACACUCACGCAAACAUUAACAGGCAGUUCCUUAAAGAAUGAGGCAACAAAACUUCUGGGAACUUGCUUCUAUAGGAUGAAAGAUUUCGUUUGUCCAUGUGCGCAGGAAUUAAUGAGGUCUUCUGGAUCUAAUUCCCGUUGUGUAGAUUGAGACAGUUUGAAUUGAGCUGCAUGUGAUAAGAUGAAAAUAAAGCAGAUUUCUUGUGAACCGUGUACUGGGAGGCAUAAUUCUCCACUGCUCUGUGGAACAAUACAGCGAUUGCUCCACGAACAAACAUAACAUCAAAUUAACACUGUUAGUACACGCAGCAGUUUGGUUUGGGAAAAUAAAUGACACAUGAUGACAGAAGACAAACAGUCCAGCUCAGGAGAGAGAACUGACAUCAUUCAAAUCCUGUUUAGGUCUAUGUGACACAUUUGUUAUUCAGUAAUCUGUUCUCUAAAAAUUUCCAAAAGAACCACCCUCAAACAUUGGUUUUGGGAAGUGUAUUACACAUAACUAUAAGUGUGUGAAACAGUGUGAAUUUGCUGUAGAUCAUUAUGUGUGUUUCCUGGGGAUCAAACCUGAACCUUGUGUUCAAAAUGCAAUGCUUUAUUAACAGAACUACAGGAACAAGAACACUAUGUUGUGUGAAUGGCAAAGACCCAUGUUGUACUCUACAGAUUCCACAUUUUAUACAGUGUGUGCGUAUGUGUGUGUGUUUACAGGACAGUAUGGAAUAUGACCAACAUUCCCAAUGUGGAUUGUCUGAUGAGAAGCCUGUUGUUUUGUUUAAUUAUUACUGGCAUCAAUCUGCAACGUGACUAUGCAGAAAACCAACUAAAAGAAAUAUAUACUAAGUAUUUUACUCAGAAAUUUCUUUGUAUUUAUGUCUUAUUUUCAAAUACAAAUGUCUAAAGAUUUUUAAGAUAAAUUCACUUGUGAAGAAACAUUUUGUUAAGGAUAUUAAGUUUCGUAAGAUUAUGCUCAAAACAAGCAUGACUAAAACUCAUUUUAGACUCAUUAUUAAAGGUCAUCUUCUUCUCAGUGUAUCUUGAUUUAAGAAUGUUCAGCUAGUUGAACUGAAAAACUGUCUCUAUUAUAUGUUUCUAUAACCAAUUGUAUAACCUAUACCACUUGUGACAUCUUUAAUUUCCACAAAACAUGACAACCAGUCAUGUUUUGGAGCAUUUUUUUAGGAAUGGAGAUGGUUGUUAUAUGGCCUAAAAGACAGAACGUGAUCUGGGUAGGAAACAAUCUCUUUCAGGACAUGACGUUCUUUGUGAUGAACGUGCAGACCUGAACAAACUUCACAUUUCAUCACAUAGGCAGUUAUUGAAGCGUUCUUAAGGCAGACCAGCCUCAGUAGGUUAUGA